ensembl:lncRNA
GGAGGAAGUGCGACGGCGCUUCGCUACAAUCUCUUACGCGGACUAUCGGCACUGGGAGCGGAAUGCUGGAGCCCAGCGGAGGAGCGAUGGUUCCAGACCUACAUCUCCACAGCCCAUCAGAAUGACCAAAGCUGUUGUGAAGCCCUUCACCACUGCGGAGAUCUUGAUACAGAGGCCCGUGGAGAGCGGCAGGGUGUCGGAGAGCUCCCCUCCGGACGAGGAAGCAUCUGCCCCUGUCUGCAGCCCUCCGCCCCCCGGCCUCGUGGACCCUGAGGGAAGGGUCCGCCUGAGCGUGCCCCCAAGCGUUCUGAAGAACAUCCAGGAGUACAGAGAGGCCCAUGACUCCUACCUACGUCUGGUGUCCCACGAGGCCGUGGGCAACUUCGAUCCCUGGGCUGUCGCGGAACGUCUGGCUGAGGAGCUGAUGACGGAGGCCCUGGCUGAUGUGGCAG